rnacentral:rRNA from 1 species
GACAGAGGGUGCAAACGUUGCUCGGAAUUACUGGGCGUAAAGCGCGUGUAGGUGGCUCCGCGAGUCCGAUGUGAAAGCCCAGGGCUCAACCCUGGAAGUGCAUUGGAUACUACGGAGCUGGAGGCCUGGAGAGGUAAGCGGAAUUCCCGGUGUAGAGGUGAAAUUCGUAGAUAUCGGGAGGAACACCAGUGGCGAAGGCGGCUUACUGGACAGGUCC